UACAGGGGGUGCAAACGUUGCUCGGAAUCAUUGGGCGUAAAGCGCACGUAGGCGGUCUGUUAUGUCGGAUGUGAAAGCCCUUGGCUUAACUGAGGAAGUGCAUCCGAAACUGGCAGGCUAGAGUACUAAAGAGGGUCGCGGAAUUCCCGGUGUAGAGGUGAAAUUCGUAGAUAUCGGGAGGAACACCGGCGGCGAAGGCGGCGACCUGGGUAGAUACUGACGCUGAGGUGCGAAAGCGUGGGGAGCAACAGGG
rnacentral:rRNA from 1 species